CCUACGGGAUGCAGCAGUAAGGGAUAUUGCACAAUGGGGGAAACCCUGAUGCAGCAACGCCGCGUGAGGGAAGACGGAUUUCGGAUUGUAAACCUCUGUCCUCUGUGAAGAUGAUGACGGUAGCAGAGGAGGAAGCUCCGGCUAACUACGUGCCAGCAGCCGCGGUAAUACGUAGGGAGCGAGCGUUGUCCGGAUUUACUGGGUGUAAAGGGUGCGUAGGCGGCUUGGCAAGUCAGUAGUGAAAUCCAGGGGCUUAACCCAGGAACUGCUUUUGAAACUGUCGAGCUUGAGUGAAGUAGAGGUAGGCGGAAUUCCCGGUGUAGCGGUGAAAGGGGUAGAGAUCGGGAGGAACACCAGUGGCGAAGGCGGCCUAUUGGGCGUUAACUGACGCUGAGGCACGAAGGCGUGGGUAGCAAACAGGAUUAGAUACCCAGUAGUC
rnacentral:rRNA from 1 species